rnacentral:rRNA from 1 species
CAAAAUGGGAGGUAAAUUUCUCCUAAGGCUAAAUAUUGGCGAGAGACCGAUAGCGAACAAGUACCGUGAGGGAAAGAUGAAAAGAACUUUGAAAAGAGAGUAAAAUAGUACGUGAAAUUGUUGAAAGGGAAACGAUUGAAGUCAGUCGUACCGACGAGAAAUCAGCUCUUUGAGUGCGAACUUGUGGGCGUGUGUGAGCUUUAAAACCUCGCUGUUUGCAACGUUUGUGCUUUUUGGGUGUACUUUUCCGUAUGGUAGGCCAACAUCAGUUUUGUUCGCUAUAAAAUGACCGGAGGAAUGUAGCUUUGAUCUCGUAUUGAAGUGUUAUAGCCUCUGGUAGAUGUGGCGAUUGAUACUGAGGAUUGCAACGAAUACCCUUUGGGCUAUCUGUCUGACCUCUGAAAGUUGCUUAGGUGCCGAAAGCGUGCUUACGGUUAUUUAAGUUGACGGUCAAUAGGUUAGAACGCGAUUAUA